GCUCCUGUGGCGCAACUUGGAUAGCGCAACAGCAUCCUAAGCUGAAGGCUGAGGGUUCGAAUCCCUCCAGGAGCG
rnacentral:tRNA from 1 species